UCUGUAUGAAACACAAAGAUGGGAUGUUAUGUUCAUCUCCCUCCCCCAAUUUCUUUCACAGCUGCUCUCUGAAGAAGAAACAAGGAGAUAUUGUUCAUGUGUGUGUGUGAGAGAGAGGGAAAGACAAAGUGUAUUUCAUUCAAAACAUCCUUUUUGCUGUGUGGAUUUUCUAAUUUAAUUUUCUCAGGCAGAAUGCACUUUUAAGUUCCAGUAAGAAGAGUUGUGACAUGUGUUCAAACAUCUGUUAUUUAUUUUUCAUUUUUUGUGUAAAUGAAAAAACAACAAACCCCGUUUCCCGAAAAUAGAGCCUGAAUUCCACCCAUGUGGUCCCUGGCCUGGAAUGUGACACUAGCCACAGAGUGAAGGUUAGGAAAGAGAGUUGGCUUUCUAUGUGAUCCUGGGCAAGCCACCCACUCCUCAGAGCUUCAGUCUCCCCACUGUGAAGGACAGACUUAUCAUUUCUAUCUCCACCAGAGAUAGGUGUGUAGGGCUAAAAGCUGAGAACGCCGAAGACUUCUUCUGCAGUUCCUCUCUCUGUGCCUUGGAUGACCCUCCCAGCUACAAAUUCUAGGCAGUCUGUUCUGCUCGGGCACGUGUUACUUCAUUCUCAAGCCCAUCACACCAUGCAGACAUCACCACAAGGCCCACCAUCUCCUUCUGGAGACUAGCACAUCCUUCAGGGUCAAGGAACUGGUUUUGGAUCCAGAGGAACAAUGCUCCUCGUGUUUGGAAUUCUACAGAAGAGAGUGUUCCUGUGACCUGGCUUCCAUCUUGGACUCAGACACCAAGGCCUGGAUUCACCACACUCCAUCACUGCAGCGGGAGCUCAAGGAGUCUCAGGUCAAAGCUCAACAUUUAUUGCAUGAAGCACUUUGAAAAGCUUUUGUUAUCAAAAGUUUUCCCUUGAGCCUUGGAGAGGAUUACCAAGUAAUGCUUUCUUCCUGCAGCUUAUUUCUUAGGAAAUUACCUCCAGGCCUGCCAAAGUCACAAAGAGCUGUGGGAUUUCACUCUUGUCUUUGCACAUGGAACACUUGGACAUCCCUCAUGAUUUUUUCCACUCCUAUUUACUGAAGAGAAAACAGAAGACCUGGGAAAGAUCUGGGCUGCUUGCCUCUGGUCUCUUGUCUGCCUUGCUGGCAAGCAUCCAGGUGACAGUUCCAGGAAUGAGUGGGGACUGUGAACAGAUCCAUACCUGCUUCUUCAGUUCAGUUCAGUUCAGCUUUCAAGAAGCAAGUGGUCACAUUGGGGAAUCCCACAUGCCAAGGAACUGCAGAAGGGCCCUAGGAGCUAAGAACAGCCUCUAGCCAACAGCCAGCAAGAAACUGAAGCUCUGGAGCAUGUGGCCUCAGGAACUAGGCUCUGCGGACAACCCGAGAGAAUUUUGGAAGUGGACCCUUCCUCAGCAGAGCCUCCAGUGAGAUUCAGCCCCAGCUGACACCUUUUCUUUAAUUGAAGUUAAUAUACAAUGUUAAUAGUUAAUAUAUAAUGUUUUAAUUUCUGCUGUACAGCAAAGUGACUCAGUUAUACCAGAUAACACCUUGAUUAGUUUUAUGAGACCCUAAGUAGUAGACUCAGAUAAGCUUUGCUGGGAUUCCUGACCCAUAGAAGCUGAGAUAAAACACAUGUGUUUUAGUUACUUAUUCUUCUGGCUACACCACGUGGCAUGUGGGAUCUUAGUUCCCUGACCAGGGAUGGAACCUGUGCCCCCUGCAGAGGAAGCUCACAGUCCCCGGACCACCAGGGAAGUCCCUUAUGUGUUGUUUUAAACCCCUGAGUUUGUAGUAAUUUGUUAUGCAACAUUAGAAAACCAUCACACCUCCCCCCCGCUGUCAGAAAUGUCAAGUUCUGGGAAGGGGCUGACAGAUGGGGGAAUGUCUCCAGCUUCCACAUCCAUUCAUUCAGCAAAUAUUUAUUGAGCAUUUAUGAUAUACGAGGCACAGUUUUAGAUACAUUAGUAAACAAAAGAAAAUCCCUGCUCUCAAAGCUUAUACUCUAGUCAAGGAAUAAAAAUAUUAAAUUCAUAAAUAAUUGUAUAUAGUAUGUUAUUCAGUGAUGAGAACUCUAGAAAGGAUAGAGGGGCUGGGGAUGCUAGGGAGUAGGUUGAAGUCUUUCAUAGGAUCCUCAGGGUAGGCCCAAUGAAAGGGCAAAAACUUGAAAGGAAAUAUCACACAAGAAACUCCAGGUAUCAUCCAUGCGUACGACUUCAAGCACAGGUUCAAGGUCUCAUCCUGCCCUGGGGGAUCAUGGCGUCAUAACUGCCUUUUUCGACCUCUUCUCCCACCUCCACCCUCCAUGCCCAGGUCCACCCUGCAUCCCUACCUUCUAGCCUUCUGCUGUCCUCCAAACCCACCUACCAAGAAUCCUCACUCUUCAUUGUUUCCCUGACAAAAUACUUCUCCCCCACAUUCAGCUCAAUGGCCUCCUCCCCUGAAGCCUCCCCUGGUGCCUUCACCCCACUCCCAGCAGAAAGUCCGCUCCUCCUGCACAUGCCCUCCAGCUUUGCUUAUGGCUUAUCCUGAGCUUCAACUUUCCACACGUGUUACAGCUGGCAGCCUGUGUCUCUUGGAGAGACUGUGGAAUGCGGGGGAUGGGGCUUGUUAUCACUGAGCUUCCAGGCUCUAGCAUAUUACAGUUGGAAUUUGUUGAAGAAAAAAAUUAGUUAGAUGGGACUUCACUGGCAAUCUAGUGGUUAAGACUCUAUGCUUCUAAUGCAAGGGGCACAGGUUUGAUCCCUGCUCAGGGAACUAAGAUAACACAUGCUAUGCAGUGCAGCCAAGAAAAUAUUUUUUAAGUUAGUUGGAGAUCAGUCCUCUGUGGGUUUUUUCCUUUCUCUUUAAAGUCCUUAGAGGAGGUUUAUAUCAUUCUUUAUUUGGUUUGUUACUGAGAGAGUAUUUGGACAGAGUAUUAUUCAUUUUCCAAAUUCUACUUUUGAGCCAACUUCUUCCACAGCAUAGCCUGACCCAGCUCACAGAAUUGUACACAUGUUCAAGACACAGCCUUGGACACUAAAACAGGUAAUUCAUGCAGCCACAUGUGUCUUUUCCAGAGAGGUUCAGUUCAGUCACUCAGUUGUGUCCGACUCUUUGUGACCCCAUGGACUGCAGCACGCCAGACCUCCCUGUCCAUCACCAACUCCCAGAGUUUACUCAAACUCAU